rnacentral:rRNA from 1 species
GGAUUAGAUACCCUGGUAGUCCACGCUGUAAACGAUGAGAACUAGACGUCGGGCGGGUAACUGCUCGGUGUCGCAGCUAACGCGUUAAGUUCUCCGCCUGGGGAGUACGCCGGCAACGGUAAAACUCAAAGGAAUUGACGGGGGCCCGCACAAGCGGUGGAGCAUGUGGUUUAAUUCGAUGCAACGCGAAGAACCUUACCUACCCUUGACAUCCUCGGAACUUGUUAGAGAUAACUUGGUGCCUUCGGGAACCGAGAGACAGGUGCUGCAUGGCUGUCGUCAGCUCGUGCUG